UACGAAGGGGGCUAGCGUUGUUCGGAAUUACUGGGCGUAAAGCGCGCGCAGGCGGUUCUCCAAGUCGGUGGUGAAAGCCCGGAGCUCAACUCCGGAACUGCCAUUGAAACUGUUGAACUUGAGGACGAGAGAGGUGAGUGGAAUUCCCAGUGUAGAGGUGAAAUUCGUAGAUAUUGGGAAGAACACCGGUGGCGAAGGCGGCUCACUGGCUCGUUUCUGACGCUCAGGCGCGACAGCGUGGGGAUCAAACAGG
rnacentral:rRNA from 1 species